GAAGAACUCUGGAAGCCUGGGUUUCUUCCAGGGGGCAGGCGCCGAGGCGGGAGUUGCGCGCGACGCGCCUACCGUGCCUCAGUUUCCCUAGUCCGGGACGCGGAAGCGCGGGUGACUGCGUUGAGUGCUCCCGGACUCGCGGAAGUCUGCAAGUGUAGGGUAGAGAAGUUGCCUUUCUGGUGAUGCAGAUUGUUGCUCUCGAGCGCGGUGGACGCCGUCUCCGGGCCAGAUUCCCAGCCUGCCAUUUCUUCUCUUCCCUUUCACUUUUAUAAAAGUUCACAGCUCUCACUCAAGUCGAAAUCUGUCUUACGGUUGGGAAAGGAAAACCUUUAGCUUAGCAAAGAAGGAUAAUUACAGAGUUCGUAAUAAACCUGCCCUGCUAGCAAGGUCUUCUCCAAGUCAGUUAAAAAACUAAGUUCACUCAUCUCUGCCGGUUGUACUUUUCAAAAGUAACUUCCUAAACUUUGAAAUGCUGCAUCCGGCGACUUUAAGUUAGCCCUUUCAUUAUUGAGAAACUUCAUUUCAUUAUUAAAGGAAUCAUUUUAACCCUGCCAUUGGAGGUAGUGACGCAAAAGUGACAUAGACGCAGUCGGUAAAUCAGAAAACGGGUAAAAUCGACCCACUGGGGACAGAACCGUCUAAAGUUUCGGGUGAUUGUUAUAAUUAUUUAACAAACUGCAAAGCAGUUCCCGCACAGUGGACCUCAUUCGUUCUAGGCACUUGGCUCUCUUUUCCAGCUGAGGCCUCAGGAUUAAAUAACAACAUAUUUUGUGCCCGAGGAAUCCCUAUAUCCCUAUAUAUGGGUAACUGAGGAGACUAGACUGUGACUGAGUGCAACACAUUUCUACAAAACAUAACUUUUACUAAUACAUUGUUUUCCUUUUUUUUAAUUUUUUUUUUAUUUUAUUUUUGGAGACAGGAUCUUGCUCUGUCACCUAGGCUAGAAUGCAAUGGUGCGAUCUGGGCUCGCUGCAGCCUCGACUCCCUGGAAUCAAGCCAUCCUCCCUUUUCAGCCUCCCGAAUAGCUGGAACUACAGGCACGCACCACCACGCCUAGCUAAUUUCUAAAAUUUUUUUGUAGAGAUGCAGUUUCACCAUGCUGCCCAGGCUGGUCUCAGACGCCCGGGCUCAAGCUGUCCUCCUGCCUCGGCUUCCUGAAGUGCUGGAAUUACAAAAGAGGAAGAGAAGGGCAGGGAGCAAGAGUAAAGGCUUUGGAGCUCAGCAAGACUGGGUUGAAUCUCAGCCUCAUUGUUUACUUGAUGUGUAAAAGCAGGUAAGUAAUUUAUUUUCAUAUUGUAGAAAAAUAUUGCUGGUCUGUUUAUGGGCAUUUAAAAUAAAAAUAUGACUAAUAUAAUAGUCUGUUUAUAUAUUUUUUAAGUAUGUGUCAAUAUACAGUACAUAGAUAUAUAUGCACAGAAAAAGGACCAGAAAGCUAUAUGCCAACAUAUUGACAGGUAAUUAGAUAAUAGGUGAUUUUUAAUUUUUUUUUUUUUUUGGUCCUUUUCUGUGUUUCUGAAGUUUGAAGCAUCAUGAGCCAAGUGUGCUGGCACAUGCCUGUAAUCCCAACAUUUUGGGAGGCUGAGACAGGUGGAUCACUUGAGGUCAGGAGUGGCAACAAGGCGAAAACCCAUCUCUACUGAAAAUACAAAAAAUUAUCUGGGCAUGGUGGCAUGUGCCUGUGAUCCCAGCUACUUGGGAGGCUGAGGUGGGAGAAUCACCUGAGCCCAGGAAGUUGAGGCUGCAGUGAGCCGUGAUCACGCGGCUGCGCUCCAGUCUGGGUGACAGAGGAGACCUUGUCUGAAAUAAAUAAAGAAAUAAAUAUAAAGCAUGGUGACUUUUAUAGAGAAGGUCAGCUAAGAAAUGAUCUGUAUUAAAUAACUGCACUAUAAAACCCCUAAGUAUCUAUGUUUUAAGCAAGUUUUUUGUUUGUCUGAUUGGUUGGUUGGUUGUUUGGUUUGGUUUGAUUUGGGUUUUUUUGAGACAGAGUCUGACUUUGUCACCCAGGCAAGAGUGCAGUGGCGCUAUCUCGGCUCACUGCAAACUCCACCUCCCAGGCUCAAGUGAUUCUCCCACGUCAGCCUCUCCAGUAGCUGGGACUAUAGGCGCAUGCCACCAUGCCUGGCUAAUUUUUUUUGUAUUUUGGCAGAGAUGGGGUUUCACCAUGUUGCCCAGGCUGGUUUAAACUCCUGAGCUCAGGCAAUCCACUCACCUCAGCCUUCCAAAGUGCUGGAAUUACAGAUGUGAGCCACCGUUCCUGGCCUGUUUUAAGCAGUUUUAAGCAAAAUCCAAAGCAGAAUUCUGGCGGAAGCCAGGCAUUAUAUCAUGACACUCAAACAGCUCUGUGGAGAAGCCCACCUGGAGAUAAACCAGAGCCUCCCGUCCUCCGUCAGCAUUGACUUGCAAGCCAUGUGACAGCUACCUUGGAAGUGGAUCCAGCAACCUCAAGAGAGGUUGCCCCCGCCACCCUCCAGUUCAUGUACUCCCAAAUUCCUGACCCAUAGAAACUGUGAAAGAGAAUAAAUAUUGGUUUAAUCCAUGAAGUUUUGAGGCCAUUUUACUUGGCAAUUGCUAACAAAUACAGGCUUAUCUGCUUCUCACUGACUGCAUUCAAGUUCCUCAUCUUUGCCAGGCAUGUUGCUGUAAUGAUGCUGUGUUCUUCUGAUCGCUUUCUAUCACGUCCUGCAUGAUUUCACCUUGUCACAGUAUUGGUGAUGUUAAAUUUGAUUACUUGAUUAAAGGAAUAUGUGUCAUGCUGUGGAGUCGGAAAGUUAUUCUAUUUCUAUGUAUGUAAUUAAUAAGCAAUUUGUGGGGAA
rnacentral:lncRNA from 10 species